GACGAACGCUGGCGGCGUGCUUAACACAUGCAAGUCGAACGAUGAAGCUGGAGCUUGCUCCGGUGGAUUAGUGGCGAACGGGUGAGUAACACGUGAGCAAUCUGCCCUUGACUCUGGGAUAACUGCGGGAAACUGUAGCUAAUACCGGAUACGAGGCUCGAAGGCAUCUUCGGGUCUGGAAAGAAUUUCGGUCAAGGAUGAGCUCGCGGCCUAUCAGCUUGUUGGUGAGGUAAUGGCUCACCAAGGCGACGACGGGUAGCCGGCCUGAGAGAGUGACCGGCCACACUGGGACUGAGACACGGCCCAGACUCCUACGGGGGGCAGCAGUGGGGAAUAUUGCACAAUGGGCGAAAGCCUGAUGCAGCAACGCCGCGUGAGGGAUGAAGGCCUUCGGGUUGUAAACCUCUUUUAGCAGGGAAGAAGCGAAAGUGACGGUACCUGCAGAAAAAGCACCGGCUAACUACGUGCCAGCAGCCGCCGUAA
rnacentral:rRNA from 1 species